AGAAACAUCGAUUUCCUUAGUAGCGGCGAGCGAAAGGGAAAGAGCCCAAACCGAGGGUCUACGGACGUUCGGGGUUCGGACUUGCAAAAAUCGAAGUACUUAUAGACGAAGAGGUUUGGAACUUCCUACCAAAGAGGGUAACAGUCCCGUAGUCGAAAUGAGUACAAGAGGGCGAGAAUCCAGAGUACCACAGGACACGAGUAAUCCGGUGGGAAGACGGGGGGCCCACCCCCCAAGGCUAAAUACUACUUGGUGACCGAUAGCGUAUAGUACCGUGAGGGAAAGGUGAAAAGAACCCCGGGAGGGGAGUGAAAGAGUACCUGAAACCCUAUGUUUACAAGCAGUGGGAGCGAGAGCGACCAUGUACUUUUUGUAGAACGGGCCGGCGAGUUACUGUGUGCAGCGAGGUUAAGUUGUUAAGCAACGGAGCCGAAGGGAUACCGAGUCUGAAAAGGGCGUAAAGUUGCAUGCAGUACACCCGAAACCGGGUGACCUAUCCAUGGACAGGAUGAAGCGACGGUAAGACGUCGUGGAGGUCCGAACCACACGUACGUGAAAAGUGCGGGGAUGAGCUGUGGAUAGCGGAGAAAUUCCAAUCGAACUCGGAGAUAGCUGGUUCUCCCCGAAAUAGCUUUAGGGCUAGCCUCGAUUUAGAUUACCGGGGGUAGAGCACUGAAUGGGCUAGGGGGCCACAAAGCUUACCGAACCCUAUCAAACUUCGAAUACCGGAUAAUUGAUGAUCGGGAGUCAGACAGUGUGAGAUAAGUUUCAUUGUCGAAAGGGAAACAGCCCAGAUCUACGACUAAGGUCCCAAAGUUCAAGUUAAGUGGAAAAGGAUGUGCAAUUGCGUAGACAACCAGGAUGUUGGCUUAGUAGCAGCCAUUCAUUCAAAGAGUGCGUAAUAGCUCACUGGUCGAGUGAUUGUGCGCCGAAAAUGUAACGGGGCUAAACUUGACACCGAAGUCUAGGCAGAAGGAAACUUCUGGGUAGGGGAGCAACGUGUACGGGCAGAAGCAGAAGCGGAAGCGACUGUGGACUGUACAGGAGAGAGAAUGCCGGCAUGAGUAGCGAGAGCAAAGUGAGAAUCUUUGCCGUCGAAAGCCUAAGGUUUCCUGAGGAAGGCUCGUCCUCUCAGGGUAAGUCGGGACCUAAGCCGAGGACAAUAGUCGUAGGCGAUGGACAAUCGGUUAAUAUUCCGAUACCGCCGAGCAACCGGAUGCAGUGACACAGAAGGAUAGGCAGAGCGUGGCGAUGGUAGACCACGUCCAAGCAGUGAGGCUGUUGUGUAGUGAAGUACGCACAACGGAAGGCUGGGCUGUGAUGGGGAACGAUUACGAUCGGUAAGCUGCUGAAUUCACGCUGGCGAGAAAAGCUGCUACGAAGCGAAGGCGCCCGUACCGCAAACCGACACAGGUAGGCGAGGAGAGAAUCCUAAGACGAGCGGGAGAACCCUUGUUAAGGAACUCGGCAAAAUGACUCCGUAACUUAGGGAGAAGGAGUGCCCAGGAAUGGGCCGCAGAGAAUAGACCCAAGCGACUGUUUACCAAAAACACAGGUCUGUGCGAAGUAGAGAUACGACGUAUACGGGCUGACACCUGCCCAGUGCCGGAAGGUUAAGGGGAAAUGUUAGGGCAACCGAAGCAUGGAACUUAAGCCCCGGUGAACGGCGGCCGUAACUAUAACGGUCCUAAGGUAGCGAAAUUCCUUGUCGGGU
rnacentral:rRNA from 1 species